GAAGAACCUUACCUGGUCUUGACAUCCACAGAACUUGGCAGAGAUGCCUUGGUGCCUUCGGGAACUGUGAGACAGGUGCUGCAUGGCUGUCGUCAGCUCGUGUUGUGAAAUGUUGGGUUAAGUCCCGCAACGAGCGCAACCCUUAUCCUUUGUUGCCAGCGGUCCGGCCGGGAACUCAAAGGAGACUGCCAGUGAUAAACUGGAGGAAGGUGGGGAUGACGUCAAGUCAUCAUGGCCCUUACGACCAGGGCUACACACGUGCUACAAUGGCAUAUACAAAGAGAAGCGACCUCGCGAGAGCAAGCGGACCUCAUAAAGCACUCCUCUCCGGAUUGGAGUCUGCAACUCGACUCCAUGAAGUCGGAAUCGCUAGUAAUCGUGGAUCAG
rnacentral:rRNA from 1 species